AUGCGGCAAUAUUGGUGGGGAGUGGAGAAAGGUAAAAGAAAGAUGGCUUGGUUGAGUUGGGAUAAAAUGAGACUCCCAAAGACCAAAGGUGGUAUGAGUUUCCGUGACAUGCGUGCAUUUAAUCAGGCAUUGCUUGCAAAGCAGGCCUGGCGACUACUUGAUGUUCCAGACAGUUUGUGUGCUCGCUUAUUGCGUGCGAAGUACUACCCCAAUGGGAACCUGUUGGAUAUAGUUUUUAUUGGAAAUCCUUAA
rnacentral:rRNA from 1 species